CACACCUGAGGCGUCUGUUUAAAGCACAGAUUCUGGAAUGGGGCCCAGGAAAUGCCUGUUUUUAAUCCCUAGGUGAUCCUGUUGCUCAGGCAGGAUUGAGAGCCACAAGUGCGUUCUUUCCUUCUGGACAAGAAAAGACUGAGCUUACAUGAUCUGACUUCCCAAAGGAGACACAGUGUCCAGCAGAGCCAGAAUUUGAACUCGGCAAAGUCAAAAUGGAAGAACCAUUCCUUCAAAAACGAGCAUCACACAUGUGAAGGGAUUUUUUCUGUUAGUAACAGAGGCCCU